UAUAACCGGGUUUGGGCAUGGGGCGAUAAAGGCAGGGACCUCCAAACCCCACCCUCCAUCUUCCAGAAGCCCUCAUCUCCCUUACCGCCACUCCCAGCCCUGAGGCUGACACCCUCUCCCAUGGAGCCUUGAGCGCCAGAAACAGCCCUGUCAUGGUGCCGCGCCGCAGCAUGGGCAACGCUGCUGUCGCCACCGGGAGCGGCCGGACGGAGGAAGCUUUCGUCGUUCGGUUGGGGCGUUAUCCCGGCGCCAUAACCGUGCCCCUCUGCUCGACUCUUUCUUCCCCGCGCUCUUCUCUCCCAACUUCGGUCGCGGGUGUCGGGGUCCAGACUCUGCACUGCACGGUGAGACACUCCCUAUUUUUUUUACCAUCACUAUCCUCUGCACUCCGCGUAGUAUCCAUCGGAUGGAGUUUUAGGGACCCGGAUGGGAUUUUGAUGGGUGCUGGCAUGGCGCCGCCGUGAGGUGGAAGAAGGGUUGGUAGCCGCUGGAUGGGGAGAGAACGGUUGGGAUUAAAGCUGAGAUCCCCCUUCGAUGCAUUGUGCCCGUGUCGCUGGAGCUUCGGCCAAGGGCCAGGAUUAGACCUCAGUGUGUUUAGGUUCGCGCCGUUAGAUCGUAUUGGACGGUUGGGGCGAGAUCUGGGGCUUAAUAAAAUCGUGACCGCAGAUCUGGCGUUGUGCGGUCGAUGUUGCACACCGGUUCGGAAUGAAUCUGGAUCUAAUCGGCACCCUCACUUUCAGAUCCAACGGCCAGAAUUGACCUGUACCCCUUCAGCCAUGUAAUCUUGCAUAAGAAACCCUAUCUUUAUUAGGAGUAAACCCGCAGACCACAGAUUCUAUUCACUGAGUCUAGGAAAUUUUACCCCAGAGACCCUGAACUUCUCUGUUUUUGUUGCGCAGUUCAAACAAUUAAUAAAACGGGGAAAUCAAUUUAGAGAAUGAUUUUUAGUACGAAAUUUAUUACAGAAACUUGUAAAAUUCCUAGAAAUUUAAUAUGAAGUCCAAAUCAAUCCAUUCCAAUUUAUAUAGUUUUAUAAUAUUAUUUUUUAUCAAUUAGUAUCACUAUUUUGACAUGAAGAUCACAAUAAAAUUUAUAUCCUAUUCAAUCUUGUACAGAACACAUAGAAUCUCUUGAAAUUCAUAACUUAAAAUCUAUAACUCCGAUUUGAUCCGUUCAAGAUGCGUUAGUCUCGUAUAAAUAUUUACUAUGCAAUAACACUAUUUAUUUUACCAUAUCUCAUUAUUUUAUGAUUAGAUCUUUAUUUAACUUAUAUUGGUUAGUCUCGUUAAUGUGUUCAUCAUUAUUUACUAAACUAUGAUAUAUGGCCAAUUUAAAAUUUAGAUUAAAGUUGAGAUAAUUAUUUAUAGAAUAACCUCUUAUAUGAUUUAUAUUAACCAAUUUAUAAUAUAGUUUAAUAUUUUAAUCACAUAAAUCCUGUAUAAAAUCAUAACUCCUUAACCGUAACUCUGAUUUUAGUGGUUCUCGUUCCCACGAUCUCGUAGCGACGCGUAGAUCAUUAUUAUGCAAUUUGUUCUUAUGUUUGGUAUGUUGUUAAUUUUUUCCAUACCAUGUUUGUUUGUAUUGCUACGACUAGCGCGAGGUUUCGAGGAUCUGAAGAAUCACCCUGGUAUCUGAAAUCUUAAGUGCCAAGCAAGUUGUGCCCUUGGUCCACUUUUGUUACCCAA
rnacentral:lncRNA from 1 species